CUGUAGUACGUGGUCCGGGGUUUGGGUGUUAACUCGGAGACAACCCUUAAUAAUACGGCACAUUGUGACCAAUAUUAUUUAAAGCGGCCCAUCCCAGAUUUAUAAUCCUGAUGUUAAACCCUGACUCGACAUCUCUCACAGCAUGAACCGUGAAGUUCAACCCAGGAAACUGCAAAAGCAGCAGGUUGUUAUUCUCCCUGCCGAGCUGUGCUAAUGAAGAUGGGAUGCAGAUGAGGGCGGAGGUCGCCUCUGUAGCAUUCGACCCCGGCGCCCGUAGCAUGCCACUCUGACUGCCACAGGUUGAAGUCACACCCAAGUUAAUUCUUCAAUUAGCGUGAGCCAGAUAUUCCGGGAAGAUCGGAGGGCCCGCCAAUCGAUGUCCAAUUAGCGAGGCUUCGUGGCCCGGCAUUUGAAAGGCAGCUUUGACAGUGAGAAAGAACGUGAGAGGCAGCAGGAGGAGGGGUGUACGAGAGCAAGAGACACAGAGAGAGAGAGAGAGAGAGAGAGAGAGAGAGAGAGAGACCGUGGCAAGGGCUGUACAAGCAUGCCUUUUAUAUUUACUAGCGACUGAGGGGAAGAGAGAGAGAGUGAGAGAGAGGGUGAAGAGAGAGACAACCGAUGUGCACAGCUUUCCCAAGAGGAAAUUAAAAGAAAGAAGCUCAGCGAAAAGAGUGAGA
ensembl:lncRNA